rnacentral:rRNA from 1 species
AUUGAACGCUGGCGGAGUGCUUUACACAUGCAAGUCGAACGGCAGCACGGGGCAACCUGGUGGCGAGUGGCGAACGGGUGAGUAAUACAUCGGAACGUGCCCAAUCGUGGGGGAUAACGUAGCGAAAGUUACGCUAAUACCGCAUACGAUCUACGGAUGAAAGCGGGGGAUCGCAAGACCUCGCGCGAAUGGAGCGGCCGAUGUCAGAUUAGGUAGUUGGUGGGGUAAAGGCUCACCAAGCCAACGAUCUGUAGCUGGUCUGAGAGGACGACCAGCCACACUGGAACUGAGACACGGUCCAGACUCCUACGGGAGGCAGCAGUGGGGAAUUUUGGACAAUGGGCGCAAGCCUGAUCCAGCCAUUCCGCGUGCAGGAUGAAGGCC